rnacentral:rRNA from 1 species
AGAGUUUGAUCCUGGCUCAGAACGAACGCUGGCGGCGUGGAUUAGGCAUGCAAGUCGAACGAGAACGGUUCUUCGGAACUUAGUAGAGUGGCGAAAGGGUGAGUAAUGCAUGGACAACCUACCCUCGAGAUGGGGAUAACUUCUCGAAAGGGGAGCUAAUACCCAAUGAGACCACGGAUCGCAUGUUCCGCGGUCAAAGAUAGCUUUGCCUUCGCUUGAGGAGGGGUCCAUGUCCUAUUAGCUUGUUGGCGGGGUAAGGGCCCACCAAGGCGAUGAUGGGUAGCCGGGCUGAGAGGCUGGCCGGCCACACUGGUACUGAGACACGGACCAGACUCCUACGGGAGGCAGCAGUGGGGAAUAUUGCGCAAUGGGGGAAACCCUGACGCAGCAACGCCGCGUGGGUGAUGAAGGCCUUCGGGUCGUAAAGCCCUGUCAGGAGGGAAGAAACCGGACUUGUUCCGCUGACGGUACCUCCAAAGGAAGCACCGGCUAACUCCGUGCCAGCAGCCGCGGUAAUACGGAGGGUGCAAGCGUUGUUCGGAAUUACUGGGCGUAAAGGGCGCGUAGGCGGCCGAUCAAGUCUGGUGUGAAAGCCCGGGGCUCAACCCCGGAAGUGCACUGGAAACUGGUUGGCUUGAGUUCGGGAGAGGAAGGCAGAAUUCCCGGUGUAGGAGUGAAAUCCGUAGAGAUCGGGAGGAAAAUCAGUGGCGAAGGCGGCCUUCUGGAACGAAACUGACGCUGAGGCGCGAAAGCGUGGGGAGCAAACAGGAUUAGAGACCCUGGUAGUCCACGCCGUAAACGAUGGAUGCUUGGUGUGGGGAUCAUUUAGGAUUUCCGUGCCGGAGCUAACGCAAUAAGCAUCCCGCCUGGGGAGUACGGUCGCAAGACUAAAACUCAAAGGAAUUGACGG